AUGAGUCUACCGCUUACAAGAAAAGAUCUCAUGAUAGUCAAUAUGGGCCCUCAACACCCAUCAAUGCAUGGUGUUCUUCGACUGAUCGUUACUCUCGAUGGUGAGGAUGUUAUUGAUUGUGAACCCAUAUUAGGCUAUUUACACAGAGGAAUGGAAAAAAUCGCGGAAAACCGAACUAUUAUACAAUACUUACCUUAUGUAACAAGGUGGGAUUAUUUAGCUACUAUGUUUACAGAAGCAAUAACAGUAAAUGCACCAGAAUUCUUGGAGAAUAUUCAAAUACCACAAAGAGCCAGCUAUAUUAGGGUAAUUAUGUUAGAAUUAAGCCGCAUAGCUUCUCACUUGCUAUGGCUUGGACCUUUUAUGGCGGAUCUCGGCGCACAGACUCCUUUUUUCUAUAUUUUUAGAGAGAGAGAAUUAAUAUAUGAUCUUUUUGAAGCUGCUACAGGUAUGCGAAUGAUGCACAAUUACUUUCGCAUCGGAGGAGUAGCCGCCGAUCUACCUUAUGGAUGGAUCAAUAAAUGUUUAGAUUUCUGUGAUUAUUUUUUACGCGGAGUUGUUGAAUAUCAACAACUUAUUACACAGAAUCCAAUUUUUUUAGAGCGAGUUGAAGGAGUAGGUUUUAUUAGCGGAGAAGAAGCAGUAAAUUGGGGCUUAUCAGGACCGAUGUUACGAGCUUCUGGAAUACAAUGGGAUCUUCGUAAAGUAGAUCCUUAUGAGUCUUACAACCAAUUUGAUUGGAAAGUCCAAUGGCAAAAAGAAGGGGAUUCGUUAGCUCGCUAUUUAGUACGAAUUGGUGAAAUGAGGGAAUCCAUCAAAAUAAUUCAACAAGCUGUAGAAAAAAUUCCUGGAGGACCUUAUGAGAAUUUAGAAGUCCGACGCUUUAAGAAAGAAAAGAAUUUUGAAUGGAAUGAUUUUGAGUAUAAAUUUCUUGGUAAAAAACCUUCGCCCAAUUUUGAAUUGUCAAGACAAGAGCUUUAUGUAAGAGUAGAAGCCCCAAAAGGUGAAUUAGGGAUUUAUCUAGUAGGAGAUGAUAGGCUUUUCCCCUGGAGAUGGAAAAUCCGUCCACCCGGGUUUAUUAAUUUACAAAUUCUUCCUCAGCUAGUUAAAAAAAUGAACUUGGCUGAUAUCAUGACGAUAUUAGGUAGUAUAGAUAUCAUUAUGGGGGAAGUUGAUCGUUGA
rnacentral:rRNA from 1 species